rnacentral:rRNA from 1 species
GACGAACGCUGGCGGCGUGCUUAACACAUGCAAGUCGAACGGUAAGGCCCUUUCGGGGGUACACGAGUGGCGAACGGGUGAGUAACACGUGGGUGAUCUGCCCUGCACUUUGGGAUAGGCCUGGGAAACUGGGUCUAAUACCGAAUACACCUUGCUGGUCGCAUGGCCUGGUGGGGGAAAGCGUUUGCGCUAAUAGAUGAGCCUAAGUCGGAUUAGAUAGUUGGUGAGGUAAAGGCCUACCAAGGCGACGAUCUGUAGCGGGUCGGAGAGGAUGAUCCGCCACACUGGGACUGAGACACGGCCCAGACUCCUACGGGAGGCAGCAGUGGGGAAUAUUGGACAAUGGGGGGAACCCUGAUCCAGCCAUGCCGCGUGUGUGAAGAAGGCCUUAUGGUUGUAAAGCACUUUAAGCGAGGAAGAGGCUCUUUUGGUUAAUACCCAAGAUGAGUGGACGUUACUCGCAGAAUAAGCACCGGCUAACUACGUGCCAGCAGCCGCGGUAACAC